UUGACCUCGGAUCAGGUAGGAUUACCCGCUGAACUUAAGCAUAUCAAUAAGCGGAGGAAAAGAAACCAACAGGGAUUGCCCCAGUAACGGCGAGUGAAGCGGCAACAGCUCAGAUUUGGAAUCUGGCCUUCGGGCCCGAGUUGUAAUCUGGAGAGGAUGCUUCUGGCGCGGUGCCUUCCGAGUUCCCUGGAACGGGACGCCGGAGAGGGUGAGAGCCCCGUACGGUUGGACACCUAGCCUCUGUGAAGCUCCUUCGACGAGUCGAGUAGUUUGGGAAUGCUGCUCAAAAUGGGAGGUAAAUUUCUUCUAAAGCUAAAUAUUGGCCAGAGACCGAUAGCGCACAAGUAGAGUGAUCGAAAGAUGAAAAGCACUUUGAAAAGAGAGUUAAAAAGUACGUGAAAUUGUUGAAAGGGAAGCGCCCGUGGCCAGACUUGCGCUGCGCGGACCACCCAGCGUUCUCGCUGGUGCACUCCGCGCGGCGCAGGCCAGCAUCGGUUUUCCUAGGGGGAUAAAGGUCGCGGGAACGUAGCUCCUCCGGGAGUGUUAUAGCCCGUGGCGUCAUGCCCCUGGGGGGACCGAGGACCGCGCUUCGGCAAGGAUGC
rnacentral:rRNA from 1 species